CGAAACGAGAGGAAAAGGCACGGACGUGUUUUUCUUUUUGCUACGGUUACUAAACUCUUGUUUUCUUUUUUUCAGCUUCUUCCGACCCCCUUCAGAAGAAAGGGCUUAACUUAGGUACUGAUGGACUUGGAGCGGAAGGAUACCGAUGACUUAAGAUACAAUGUAUUGCAAUUGCUAAUCAAUCACCCAAAUGGUCUCAAAUUUGGGGACUUCAGUGCAGCUUUUUAUCAGAUCCAUAAUUUUCAUCCCAAAUUCUCUCGUUACGGGUAUUGUUCACUCAGACAAUUGCUCGACCACAUGAAAGAAACUGUAGUUGUAGAAGGCAAAAGAUCAUGUGGCUCAGUAAUGAAGCUAGUAAGUGGUUUAAAUCUUGAUGGCUUGCUAGAUGAAAUAGAAAACAGUGGACUGGACAGUUUUGAAGAGGAAGAUUCAAGAUUGAAGAAGGAAGAAGGAAGAGAAAGAGGGGAAGAUACAGCUGCAGCAGCAGCAGAUCUGGCUGAAGUCUUAGCAGCAAUUACCAAUCUUCUAAUAGAAUAUGAGUCGGGUUUGAAGUUUGAGAAAAUCCAAACACUAUUGCUCUCCACAAUUGGAAUUGAUCUACAGGCAUUUAUCAUCACCAAAGGCUAUAAGGAUAUCCUAACCUUUUUGGGUGACCAGAUACCUAAGCUAAUCAUCAGACAUCGAGAGAACCUUCACAGAUGUGUUGUCCAACUCUCUGAAGAUUUAACAGUUGUAUCAGUGCCAAUUUGUGACAUCUUGAAAUUAUAUCCUGAUGGCUUGAAGUUGUCAAAAUUAAAAGAGGCGGUGAAGAAGAAAUGUGGAUAUGACCUGGAAGUAUUUUGUUAUCAGGUUGGCUUUUGCGACAUACUUUCAUGCCUCCAGGAGAUUCCUAAGCUGAUAAUAAACAGGAAUAAAAGCAGGAAUUGUAGGAUUCAACUUAAGCCAGGUUACUCAAGCUGCUCUUCAUCCCGAUCCAGCCAUUCUCCUGAUUCAGAACAGCCUAUCUGCACAUCAAAGAAAGUAAAGCAAGCUGCAUCUGAAAAGAAGCCUGGUGAGUUUGAUCUGAUUCACUUAACAACUGCCAUUUUUGUGAAUAUGGCCCUUGUAG
rnacentral:lncRNA from 1 species